rnacentral:rRNA from 1 species
ACUCCUGCCGAUGGAUAUCUUGGCUCUCGCAACGAUGAAGAACGCAGCGAAAUGCGAUACGUAGUGCGAAUUGCAGAAUUCAGUGAAUCAUCGAACCUUUGAACGCAAAUGGCGCAUCCGGGCUCCGCUCGGACGCAUGUCUCUUCGAGGGGCGCCUCCAUCCUCCUCGGAGCGAGAGAGCUCUCUCUCUCGUCUUCGGAGCCGGCGGCCGCGCGGGGGAGCCUCGGCCCCCUCGCGCGCCCGCCCAAGGCUACCUUGCGAGCGCGGCGGCGGCGUCUAACCCGCGUCCCCGCCGGAGUGCUAAGUCCACGACUAGACCUCCGGCGGACGCGUGCCCCGUUCUGCCUCGCGACCCCCGGCGUGCGCGGUGCCUCUCCUCUCCUCCGGGAGAGCGAGGCCCGCCCGCCCCGGCGCGCGGCCGCUCUCUGUGCGGCCGCGCGCCUCGAAACCCGCCAUCGAAUGAGGCAAGACUACCCGCUGAACUUAAGCAUAUCACUAAGCGGAGGAGAAGAAACUAACCAGGAUGCCCCUAGUAAUGGCGAAUGAAGCGGGCUGAGCUCACGCUGCCAAUCUGGAGGCCUCGCGUAUGCAGCGCCCCCCGAAUUGUGGUCUAGAGAGGCGUUAUCGGCCGCGCCCGCUGCUCAAGUCCCUUGGAACAGGGUGUCGGAGAGGGUGAGAAUCCCGUACCGUGGCGGGUUGCGGCCUUACGAUGCGUCCUCGUCGAGUCGGGUUGCUUGGGAUUGCAGCUUGAAUUGGGUGGUAAAUUCCAUCUAAAGCUAAAUACUGGCGAGAGACCGAUAGCGAACAAGUACCGUGAGGGAAAGAUGCAAAGAACUUUGAAAAGAGAGUCAAAGAGUGCUUGAAAUCGGUAGGAGGAAACCCGGAUGGGCCCGGCUUCGGCGCGCCGACUCAGCCUGGGGUUCUCCCCAGGUGCACUUCUGCGCGCCGGGUCAGCCGCGCCUCGGCGCCGCGCCUCAACCCGGGAGCGGGGCUUUACGGCCAGCUCCCGUCCUGGCGCGGCCCGGGGCCCGGCUGACGGAACGGGCCCCUCCGACCCGUCUAGAAACACGGACCAAGGAGUCUGACACGUGUGCGAGUACCCGGGUGGCAAGCCCGCGUGCGGAAUGAAAGUGAAGGGCAUGCCCUGCCAACCGACCUUGACCUGCUGUGAGGGGUUUGAGUGGAGCACACCUGUCGGGACCCGAAAGAUGGUGAACUAUGCCUGGGUAGGGUGAAGCCAGAGGAAACUCUGGUGGAGGCUCGUAGCGAUACUGACGUGCAAAUCGUUCGUCGAAUCUGGGUAUAGGGGCGAAAGACUAAUCGAACCAUCUAGUAGCUGGUUCCCUCCGAAGUUUCCCUCAGGAUAGCUUGAACGCAACGGUUUUGUCAGGUAAAGCGAAUGAUUAGAGGCCUGUGGGCUGAAACAGCUUGCACCUAUUCUCAAACUUUAAAUGGGCAAGAGGCCCGGGAUGCUUGAGUGAUCCCGGGCGGCGAACGGCGCGUUCAAAGUGGGCCAUUUUUGGUAAGCAGAACUGGCGAUGCGGGAUGAACCGAACGCCGCGCUAAGGUACCCAAGUGUCCGCUCAUCAGAUACCACAAAAGGCGUUGGUACCUCCAGACAGCAGGACGGUGGCCAUGGAAGUCGGAACCCGCUAAGGAGUGUGUAACAACUCACCUGCCGAAGGUACUAGCCCUGAAAAUGGAUGGCGCUCAAGCGGACCACCGAUGCGCGGCCGCCGGCGCGAGCGCGAGGCGCCGGCGAGUAGGAGGGCGCGGGGCUCGCGGCGCAGCCUUGGGCGCGAGCCUGGGUGAAGCGGGCCCCGGUGCAGAUCUUGGUGGUAGUAGCAAAUAUUCAAAUGAGAACUUUGAAGACUGAAGUGGAGAAAGGUUCCGUGUGAACAGCAGUUGGACACGGGUGAGCCGACCCUAAGAGACAGGAAAACUCCGCCGAACGCGGCUGGUUCUGUCAGCCCGUCCGUCGAAAGGGAAUCGGGUUAAUAUUCCCGAGCCAGCGCGUGGAUGGUGGGCGGCGACGCGAACGAACCCGGAGACGCCGGCGGGAGCCCUGGGAAGAGUUCUCUUUUCUUCUUAACUGCCUCCUGCCCUGGAAUCGGUUUAGCCGGAGCGAGGGCUACACGGCAGGCAAAGCACCCUAAGUCUUGGGGUGUCCGGCGCGCUCCCGACGGCCCGUGAAAAUCCGGGGGAGCGGUUCGUUCUCACGCCUGGUCGUACUCAUAACCGCAUCAGGUCUCCAAGGUGAACAGCCUCUAGUCGAUAGAGCAAUGUAGGUAAGGGAAGUCGGCAAAAUGGUUCCGCAACCUCGGGAGAAGGAAUGGCUCUGAAGGCUGGGCGCAGGGGUCCUAGGCUCGAGGCCGGCUGGCUGCGCGGGGACUACGGCCUCACGGCUGCGGAUCCCGCGCGGCCGUCCGGCGGACGGCCUAGGAGCGCUCCGGCUCUCCCUGCGCGACGAACAGCCGCUUCAGAACUGGCGCGGACAAGGGGAAUCCGACUGUUUAAUUAAAACAAAGCAUUGCGAUGGCCCGCGAGGGUGCUGACGCAAUGUGAUUUCUGCCCAGUGCUCUGAAUGUCAAAGUGAAGAAAUUCAACCAAGCGCGGGUAAACGGCGGGAGUAACUAUGACUCUCUUAAGGUAGCCAAAUGCCUCGUCAUCCAAUUAGUGACGCGCAUGAAUGGAUUCGUGAGAUUCCCACUGUCCCUAUCUACUGUCUAGCGAAACCACAGCCAAGGGAACGGGCUUGGAAGAAUCAGCGGGGAAAGAAGACCCUGUUGAGCUUGACUCUAGUCUGUUACUGUGGAACGACUUGAUGGGUGUAGAAUAUGCGGGAGGGGCAACCCGACAGUGAAAUACCGCAACCGUCAACGUUGUUUUACUUACUCGGUGGCGCGGAGGGAGGCUCGCCUCACUUCUGGAUCCAAGCCGCUUCGUGCGCGCGAUCCGCGUCGGGGACACUAACAGGUGGGGAGUUUGGCUGGGGCGGCACGUCUGUUAAAAAAUAACGCAGGCGCCCGAUUUUGAGCUCAAUGAGAACAGAAAUCUCAUGUGGACCGAAAGGGGAAAAGCUCGGUUGAUUUUGAUUUUCAGUACGAAUACAAACCGCGAAAGCGUGGCCUAUCGAUCCUCUCGUCUUUGGGAAUUUCAAGCUAGAGGUGUCAGAAAAGUUACCACAGGGAUAACUGGCUUGUGGCUGCCAAGCGUUCAUAGCGACGUAGCUUUUUGAUCCUUCGAUGUCGGCUCUUCCUAUCACUGCCUCGCAGCGGGGGCCAAAUGCAGGAUUGUUCACCCACCAACAGGGAACGUGAGCUGGGUUUAGACCGUCGUGAGACAGGUUAGUUUUACCCUACUGCUGUCUGUUUUUCUACGGUAAUUUGGUUCAGUACGAGAGGAACCACCAAUUCGCAUCAUCGGUAUAGCCGCCGCCGGAAACGGCGAUGCGGCGAAGCUGCCAUGCGCCGGAUUAUAACUGAACGCCUCUAAGUUAGAAUCCAUGCCGGAAGGAAAGCCACCUACCGGCCCGGGGACGCCACGAGCAACGGUAGCACUGCCUGAGCCGCGAGCGACCACAAUUCACGGACCCGGGCCGACGAAUCCCUUGCAGACGACUUGAAUAAGGAACGGGGUAUUGUACGCGGCAGAGUGGCCUUGUUGCCACGAUCCGCUGAGAUUCAGCCUUGGUUCUGACGAUUUGUUGCGCGCGCGCAACAACCCUCAGGGCCUCUCCCGUUCCCCAGUCGCUCUCUCGGCGCUCUCCCCCUCUCUCGCCUCUCCUCCGAGCCUCACUCGCUCGGGGGCGGAGCCGAGGGGGCGAGAGCGCGAUUUCUGCCCAAGGCAGCGCGCAGGCCACUGCGCAGACACACCCGGCUCUCCCCGAGCCGCCACUGGGCGCUCCCGCGGUCCCCCUCCGGGCUGAAUGCGGCCUCCGGAGCGGGCGGCGCGAGCGUCUAAGUCUACUCAGAGCCUUCCACGCUCUUCUUUGCGUUCCAAAGCACCCACUGCGCUCCUCUGUGUAGCAUCGCCCGGCCAACUCGCUUGCCCACUGUCAUUGCCCCCGCCACCCUCUCGCUCCACAGCCGCCACCGCCAUCCACCGUUACCGUUACCUCCACUGCCCUCGCCACCGCCCUCGCCACCGCCCUCCCCCCCCACGCCGCCGCUACCAUUCCGGCCACCCUCCCCACCCUCAUCCCCACCUUGCCCCCGCCGCCCGUUGCAGCUGCAAUCCCAACCAAAGGCGGACGCCGGUGCCGCCCUCGACGCCCCUUCGCCGCCCGGCGCCGCCCUCGCCUGCGCCCUCACGGCCCCCUCCCCGUCGCAACCCUCGCCAUCGCCGCUGCUGUCACCGCCGCCCUGGCCGCCCCCGCUCUUGCCGUCGCCGUCGAGCCCGCCCUCCGAAGCUAGCUGCUCUUCUUUGCGUUUUCCGAAGCAUGCACUCCGCUAGCAUCACCCACAAGUCACCUCCGUUGCCACUGUCCUUGGACCUCUUGCGCACUUGGCCGAGGCGUCGCCAGGCACGUACGCCGCUCCCUCCAACCCCGUGUCGGCCUGCCGCCGCCCUCACCUCCAGCCGCGCCGCACCGCCACCCUCACCUCCACCCUCCUCACCACCGUCUCCACCGCCGCUGCUCUCACCACCCUCGCCGCCGCCCUUGCCACCACCACACCCCAUUCCCGCCUCCCUCGCUCGUCGCUGCCACCCACGCCGCCGACGCAAGCACGAGCGGUGUAGCGCUACAAGUUUGGACACACACCGGCGGGCGCUUUCGAGGCAGCGGCAGCAUUUUCCCCUAGCCAUAGUGUGCGGGAAGCAGCUACUUUGCGGGACGAUACUCGAUAGCUACACUACUUCUACUAGCAUCUAGCUACUGCCGUGCAACCGGCGCGCAGCGCCGAAGAAAUAUUUUUGAGAAAAUGCUAAAAGCUAGGCGACGCUCCGAGACGACCAACGUGGUAAAAGUCGCACACUCUCCUGACCCGAUCAAAAGCGUAAAAGCACCCGAGGCUCCAGAAACCUAACUCUCAGACUAAUGGGCAAAGCCAAGCCCGCACGGCGCCGCGCACGGCCACAAAUGUCCAAAAUUUUCGCGCGCCUGCGGGCCCACUUCUGUCGUUUUGCCCCAAUCUACGGCAUGGCACAACCGUGCUUUUAGCGUUUUGACCCAAAUCGGCCGAACUUUUAGGAUACCCUCAGACUAUGGCUUUGCCCCGCUUCACCCAUAUCACGUGUCACCAUCAGCCGAGCUGUCCCUGACGCCUCUCGCCUGUGCCUGUCGCAACUCGCAUGCCCUGUCGUGUCUCACACUCACUCUCAAGUGUCGUGUGCCGCUUUUUUGCGUUUUGGCACUUUGCCGCUCGUCCCCCCCCCCCCCCCCCAGCAGAGCUGCACAUCCACUCUUGAGAUACAUCUAUUCUUUACGAGCUUGUCAAGGGGUGAGCUCCACCCACGCGAACGCCUCGCCGAAGUCCGCGACCCGCCGGUUCCGAAUCAAGAAUUCGCCCACCCCGCGGCGACCGUCGGGCAGCACGGUGGAGCCCGCGCCGUCAAAGAGGUCGCUGAGUCCGAGCACAUGGUACAGCCAGCCUCGCACCUCCUCGACACGCCCCUCGCACUGCUCUGACGCGAGCCGCGCAGUACUGAGGUAGCGAGAGUCUUCCGACGCGCCUGCCAUCGCCGCCUCGUUGACUUCGAAGUAGCUCGCCCCGCGCAAGUAGCCGGCCGUCGCGCGCGCCUGCAGCUCGGCGAAGGGGAGCGCGCGGAGCUCGCCCGCCCGCGCGAGGACCUUGGGCGCGGCCUCGGGGAACGUCUCACGCACCACGUUGAAGAUGCCGUCCCACGUGGCCGGCUCGGCCGCCUCGGCGGGAAAGAGCGCCAGCCGAAACGCCUCCCCGGCCGCUCGCCUACUGGAAGGAUGCACGUGUGAUGGGCCCCAGCUCGUAGCGCCGGCCAAGACUUGCCAUCGCCUGCGCUCGAUCCAUCGCUUCUCAAAACCGAGCCGGAGCAGCCGCUCCUCGACGGUCCCCGCGCCGAGCAGCAUGCUCAAUCCCUCCUCGCCGACGACCUGCUCACAGCCAGCGCCGUGACCAGAGCCCGCCCUGAGAGGCAGGCGCGAGCCCACCCAAUCGCUCGACCCACGAGACAGGCUUGACCGCCAGCCCGUCCGGGUGCAACGUCUCGAACGCAGCAAGCGUGGCGCCGCGGCUCACUCGACCCGAUACGCGAGAAAGCGGUAGUGCCGUGAGCGGACCCCGUGGCGCGCCCUCUGGCAACCUCGCAUACGCCGCGACCGCCGCGACCGCUGCGGCCGCCGCAGCCGACUUUGCCGCCAGCCUGCCCCCCGCCCUGCGCUUGGUCGGCUUGG